GACGAACGCUGGCGGCGUGCUUAACACAUGCAAGUCGAACGGAAAGGCCCUGCUUUUGUGGGGUGCUCGAGUGGCGAACGGGUGAGUAACACGUGAGUAACCUGCCCUUGACUUUGGGAUAACUUCAGGAAACUGGGGCUAAUACCGGAUAGGAGCUCCUGCUGCAUGGUUGGGGUUGGAAAGUUUCGGCGGUUGGGGAUGGACUCGCGGCUUAUCAGCUUGUUGGUGGGGUAGUGGCUUACCAAGGCUUUGACGGGUAGCCGGCCUGAGAGGGUGACCGGCAACAUUGGGACUGAGAUACGGCCCAGACUCCUACGGGAGGCAGCAGUGGGGAAUAUUGCACAAUGGGCGGAAGCCUGAUGCAGAAACGCCGCGUGAGGGAUGACGGCCUUCGGGUUGUAAACCGCUUUCGCCUGUGACGAAGAGUGAGUGACGGUAAUGGGUAAAGAAGCACCGGCUAACUACGUG
rnacentral:rRNA from 1 species